ACAGAGGGGGCAAGCGUUGUUCGGAAUUACUGGGCGUAAAGGGCGCGUAGGCGGCCUGUUAAGUCGAACGUGAAAUCCCCGGGCUCAACCCGGGAACUGCGUCCGAUACUGGCAGGCUUGAAUUCGGGAGAGGGAUGUGGAAUUCCAGGUGUAGCGGUGAAAUGCGUAGAUAUCUGGAGGAACACCGGUGGCGAAGGCGGCAUCCUGGACCGAUAUUGACGCUGAUGCGCGAAAGCCAGGGGAGCAAACG
rnacentral:rRNA from 1 species